GGAUGCAUAUAACCAGCUUUUACUUUGUGGUGGAGUUUUUCGUUCCCUUGUUGUACAUGUUUUUCGCGUACGCAAAGAUCGCUGUAAGUUUAUGGAAAAGAAGCAAAAAUGAAACGAUUCACAAGGCAGUUGCCAAGGCCAAAAUGAAAUCAACUCGGUUGAUGGUCGCUGCUUUCGUAGUUUUGGUGUUCUGUAGGCCGCCAAUCUUAGUAUUGCAAUUACUGGAGGUGUAUAGAGUAUUUGACAACCGAUCAUUUAAAAAUACAUUCUUAAUUUCUAUUUGGUGCGCAAUGGCGCAGAUAUCCAGCUCUUCUCUAAGCCCUGUCAUCUACACAUUCCUGAGCCCUGAGUUUAGGACAAGCGUUCUCAAACACUGUUGCUUCUUUUGUUCUCGUCGCGUGUCUAUUCGUGGUCAUCAACAUUGUCCUUUAGGUCGCGUGGAGCCUGUCACUUGACACAGACGAAUCACUGCGGAAAAUCAUCAGAACAUUAAGUUUUCCGCGUAUGUACCCAGUGCAUGUCUAUUUUUGGAGUCACUUCGCAGGGGACUGAGUACAGAGAGCGACUAACGACAAGGGUUAGGCCGAAGGACUAAGACACCACUAUUUUGGCUCAGGACACGUGGAGUCUGUUAUAACCUACAAAUAUUAGCAAGUUUGUGUACGCACUGCAUGCCUACUUUUUGAUUGGGCUCCGCUGACCAAGUGGGAACAACAAGCGCGCAGAGGGAGUGACUGGUGACAACAAUGGAGUGCAGGGGAUCCCUUCCAUGUUUGCACCUUCUCCUCUUUUAGCAAAAAAAGCCUUGACUAGUCUUCUUUGCGUUUCUCACAUGUAUGAAAUGCUCAAGAUGGCCUUCCUUAUUUCAAUGCCGUACCUGGCCGAAAAAUAUUUACGUCCUUAGACCGACCAAAAUCAGCUUCUUAAAAACUAAAUUGGGGUUUUUAAGUGAAUAUCGUCUUAAAUUCCAAAAACUGUUUACCGAUGGAUCCAAAGAAAUCUACUGAGAAGCAGGAGAGGCACGCACUGCAGGCUUUUAUGAAUCUUGACAAAACUGGUGCACAAGAAGACUUUAAACUUACACGGAAAUGUGUAGCAUCGAGAGAGGAGAAUUAACAGUCAGAUCUUAGGAGCAAAAGGGUUACCAGUCAGAUAAGACUUGACUUUCAUAAAGUCAGGAAGAUUAUCGUGAAGACGACCUUAACAAGUUGGCAGCCACAACACAGCGUGAACACAUGAAAAGCAAUGAGCUCAUGGGAACCUUAAGGAUCAACAGUAAGAAUUGCUUCUUACCUUGAUUCAGUGAUGUACACCUUCACUCUGAUGCCAACAAAAGCAAGGUGUAUAUGGAAUUCCACCAGAACCUGAUCUUUGAGUUGUUCUCAAAGAGGAAAAUGUGAAGGAAGAUAAAGAUAGGCCAAAAGUGAGUACAUUUUGAAAAUAUGGAGUGGUAUUUAAUUUAGUGAGGGAGGUUUGCAUUGUAGCUUUAGUUUUGCCAUACUAUGUUUUUCAAAUAAAUUAUCUUACCUGGGAAUGAAAGUUGCCUAAUUGUUUUGCCUCUUAAACCCUUUCACUCCCAAGAUCUCAGUAUUCAUUCUC